rnacentral:rRNA from 1 species
AGGGUUUGAUCCUGGCUCAGAACGUACGCUGGCGGCACGCCUAAUACAUGCAAGUCGAACGAAGUAGCAAUACUUAGUGGCAGACGGGUGAGUAACAUGUGGGUAUCUUCCCUUUGGUGAGGAAUAACACGAGGAAACUUGUGCUAAUACCUCAUAAGUCUUUACGGAGAAAGCUUUAUGCGCCAAUGGAUGAGCCCGCACUUGAUUAGUUUGUUGGUGAGGUAAUGGCUCACCAAGACUUUGAUCAAUAGCUGAUUUGAGAGGAUGAUCAGCCACAUUGGGACUGAGACACGGCCCAAACUCCUACGGGAGGCAGCAGUAGGGAAUCUUGCACAAUGGGGGAAACCCUGAUGCAGCGAUGCCGCGUGAGUGAAGAAGGCCUUUGGGUUGUAAAGCUCUUUCGUCGGGGAAGAAAAUGACUGUACCCGAAUAAGAAGGUCCGGCUAACUUCGUGCCAGCAGCCGCGGUAAUACGAAGGGACCUAGCGUAGUUCGGAAUUACUGGGCUUAAAGAGUUCGUAGGUUGUUAAAAAAGUUGGUGGUGAAAUCCCAGAGCUUAACUCUGGAACUGCCAUCAAAACUUUUUAGCUAGAGUUUGAUAGAGGAAAGCAGAAUUUCUAGUGUAGAGGUGAAAUUCGUAGAUAUUAGAAAGAAUACCAAUUGCGAAGGCAGCUUUCUGGAUCAUUACUGACACUGAGGAACGAAAGCAUGGGUAGCGAAGAGGAUUAGAUACCCUCGUAGUCCAUGCCGUAAACGAUGUGUGUUAGACGUUGGAAAUUUAUUUUCAGUGUCACAGCGAAAGCAA